GCCGGGCGUGGUGGCAGGCGCCUGUAGUUCCAGCUACUCAGGAGGCUGAGGCAGGAGAAUGGCGUGAAUCUGGGAGGCGGAGGUUGCAGUGAGCCGAGAUCACACCGUGCAGUCCAGCCUGGGCGACAGAGCGAAACUUUUUUUUUUUUGAGACGGAGUCUCACACUUGUUGCCCAGGCUGGAGUGCAUGGUGUGAUCUUGGCUCACUGCAACCUCCGCCUCCCGGGUUCAAGCCAUUCUCCCGCCUCAG
rnacentral:sRNA from 1 species